AUUUUUCACAAUGGGGGCAACCCUGAUGGAGCGACGCCGCGUGGGGGAUGAAGGGCUUCGGCCUGUAAACCCCUGUCAUUUGCGAACAAACCUGUCAAUUGAACAGAUUGGCAAUUGAUUGUAGCGAAAGAGGAAGGGACGGCUAACUCUGUGCCAGCCGCCGCGGUAAUACAGAGGUCCCAAGCGUUGUUCGGAUUCACUGGGCGUAAAGGGUGCGUAGGUGGCCCGGAAAGUUUGAUGUGAAAGCUCGGAGCUCAACUCCGAAAUGGCAUUGAAUACUAUCGGGCUUGAGGGUCGGAGGGGAGACUGGAAUUCUCGGUGUAGCAGUGAAAUGCGUAGAUAUCGAGAGGAACACCAGUGGCGAAGGCGAGUCUCUGGACGACACCUGACACUGAGGCACGAAAGCUAGGGGAGCAAACAGG
rnacentral:rRNA from 1 species